rnacentral:lncRNA from 1 species
CAAUUUCUCCCUCCUUUUUUCUUACUUUAAAAUAAAAAUAAAUAAAAAUAAAUAAAACACACACUUUCACUUUUGUGUUAUCAUCAGUUUUCAUAUGACAGUGAACACAUGACUAAUAAAGCCUUACCAAAUACAACAACACCUAGCUUAAAAAAAGCUAAAGGCAACCAAAUCACCAAAAUCUUCACCACUGAAGCCAAAUCGUUUCUGUUUUCACCAUAUAGCAUCAACAUUUGGCUAACAAUAAAUCAAUUUCUGCCAAAAGAAUCAAAUGCUCUGUUUUUGUUUGAGAGAGUAACAAACACAGAGAAUGAAGAGAAGAAGUAUAGUAGGAGCUCUAGCUUGACCCAGUUGAGGAUUUUACAGAUCUCCUAUUGUACUGGUAAAUUUCUGCUUUCUUUAAUGUAUUAAUGGGAGUGUCAUUUUUGAGUCUCUUUGUUUGGUUCUAGUAUUUUGAACUAGUUCCGCUGUAUAGGGCUAGAAUUUCCACCCAAUAUAGAGACUGUGGUAUUAGAGUGGGCAGCGGGCACGUUUAUUAUGUAUUCUCAUUUUAAAUUUCUUUUUUCACUUUUAUGUGAUCGAGCCGAAAGCUAGAUCUGCUGAUGGUUCAUUGUGUGUUACAGUGA